rnacentral:rRNA from 1 species
UACGGGGGGAGCAAGCGUUGUUCGGAUUUACUGGGCGUAAAGCGCGCGUAGGCGGCGCAACAAGUCACUUGUGAAAUCUCCGGGCUUAACUCGGAGCGGCCAAGUGAUACUGUCGUGCUAGAGUGCGGAAGGGGCUACUGGAAUUCUCGGUGUAGCGGUGAAAUGCGUAGAUAUCGAGAGGAACACCUGCGGCGAAGGCGGGUAGCUGGGCCGACACUGACGCUGAGGCGCGAAAGCCAGGGGAGCGAACGGG